CUAACCCACUGCUCCCUCUUCUCCGGGCAUUUGGUGUGGUGGUGGCAGUUGUGGCAGCAAAAGGCGGCGGUGGCGGUGCCUGUGAGACCCCAUUCUGCCCACCCGUGUGUACAAACAGGGUUCCUGCGCUCAGGGUGGCCUCUGCUGUGGUGACCCAGUUCUGGGCGACCUCACAUCCUCCAUCACGACGCUGGGAAAAGUGAGCGUGCUCCACAUUUACUGUUAGAUAUUUGGAGGGUCUUGCCCCACAAAGUCCAACCGCUGUGACAUGGUCUACACUCCGCUCCUUGCCCUACAGGGACCCUGUCUUCGUGCUCAGAGAUUGUACAGCAGGGGAGGCUGCAGAUGCCCCGCUCAGAAUGACCCGCACUUUGCACAUUUCACAAUUCGGUACAUACACCUGUCACACUGCUGCAAAUUGCCAGCUUGCAUUCUUACGUUCUUCCUUUGGUUGCAUUUGCUAAUAUAAAAAUUUUCCUGAUGUUUUAUUUAUGGAACUCCAUAAGGUAGCUGGAGGCCAGAGCUGUACCUCCCUAAUCCUUGGUUGGUUUCUUUUUUGAGUCCAGGUAGACAAUCCAAGAUGAUCAGUAGGAGGCUAUUGUCCUCAACUGCAGGCUGUCCUCUUGGUGCAUGGGGGCUGCUCUAGCUCCCCCCAUAGCAUUUCUAUCCCAGCCAACAGAAAGAGGGGAAGGGGAAAGCAGGUGGCGGGGGCCUUGCCGUUAAUGGGACAACCUGAAAGUUGUGGGAAUCCCUUCUUCCAGCCAUUUGGCCCUAACUUAGCCAUGUGGUUACAAGCAGGUGGAAGAAAGCUGGGGAAAAGCCCUUCCCUGGCUGUCCGGGUCACCUCCCUGUGGAAACGGUGAAGCACAGUAACUCUGUUACUAGGUAAGGAGGGAGCAGGGGUGCCGGGAAAGGAACUUCAGGGGAGUGAGGACCUUUGGAUGCUUACCAGGAGGCAGGAGGCAGGGCUCAGGGAGAGGCUGGAUGUCAGCUGAGGCCCCAGCUGAGGCCAGAGGCCGGCCAGGGAGGCAGGCCAGGCUGCAGCUUCCCUCCCUGCAUCCCACCCAGGAGCCCACCGUGGGUGCUGGUCCAUCCACACUUUCAGGGCACUGUGUUUGGAAAGAGGGUUACUAGAUUGCAUAAGGGAUUUUCAUUCCUCUGCUGCCUUUUGAGAGACAACUGGGUUCCUGAGUCCAACCUGACCCUGCGGGGAUCCCUCUCCGGAGCCUGGCCUGCAGGACUGCGGCCGGCUCCUCGGCGGGGCGCUGCCGUCCCCUGGUGGCCACAAGCAGCGCGCGCAGGCUCCGACUGCUCCCAGCAUCUCCCGGGGGGUGCAGCGAGCCUGCGUGGGGCACUUCAAGGUCACGCUCAAACACAAACGGACGAAGUGGGAAACAAUGGUGUUGGAACAAGGUGGGAAUCGAAGAAAGUUCUCCAGCGAAAGAACCUGACUGUGCGGCGCAUGCACGUUGGAAGCACCCCUCGCCCCCAAACCUGCACCCAAAGUAAGAAACCAGCUUUAGGAUGUCAAAGGAUGGAAAACAUGGGAUAGCAUGUUAGCAAAACAUGGGGAUAGACUUCCUGGUUUAGGAAAUAAACGAAAGGAAAAGUAUCAAAUUGGGCAAUGAGGAAUCUAGGAGUUAAAAUGAGCAUUCUUAUGGGAAAGAGGCAUAUAAUAAAAAAGGAGAUUCUAGAUGGUCUCAUUUCACCCUUUAACUGGAGAUAUAAAAAAAUAUAAGUGCCUUCAGAUUUUGCAUUUUUAAUGGAGAAAUUUUAUUUGUAGUGAAUAAAUCUAUUCUAUAGGAAGAACCCAACAUACAAAAUAUACAAUAUACAAAAUGAGUCUUUUACUGUAACUUCUAGAAUUGGUAUAAAAUUCUCACGUGGGGCAUCUGGGUGGCUCAGGGGUUUAGCGCCUACCUUUGGCCCAGGGCGUGAUCCCGGGGUCCUGGGAUCGAGUCCCACAUCGGGCUCCCUGCAUGGAGUUGCUUCUCCCUCUGCCUGUCUCUGCCUCUGUGUCUCUCAUGAAUGAAUAAAUUCCUUAAAACCCCUCAUGAUAAUUAUUAAAUUUAAAUCAGAUUGCAGCAUUGCUACAAUUUUCUAAAUUGUCUUUAAUUUCAUAUAAUAGUAGACUGGCUCUUAUUUACUUAUUUUUUUGCUACAUGACUACUUUUAUUUUGGUUUUCAGGAGUUUGCUUGUUUGUUUUGGUCAUAGUAUACACAUGUGUCUAUAAAUGUGCACAUAUUUUAUAAAUGAUUUUGAAAAUACAGUAUCUAUCUAUCUACAUGUACUUUAUACAUUUUAGGACAGUUUUUAGCGUGUUCUAAAGUAAUAAGAAUACAUUUGUUUGAAGAUUUUAUUUAUUUAUUUAUUUAUUUAUUUAUUUAUUUAUUUAUUUAUUUAUUUAUGAGAGACAGAGAGAGAGAGAGAGAGAGGCAGAGACCCAGGCAGAGGGAGAAGCAGGCUCCCUGUAGGGAGCCUGAUGCGGGGCUCGAUCCCAGGACCUGGGGAUCAGGACCUGAGCCAAAGGCAGAGAUGCUCAACCGCUGAGCCACCCAGCUGUCCCAAGAAUAUGUUUUUUAAAAAGAAGACGUUAUAAUCUCCUACUCAUCAAAAAUUAAUUCUAAAAUCAAACACUCAUUUUCUUAGCUUUCUACAUUCUGGGUCUAUCUGCUUUGUUUCCCCCUAAGUAUUAGGACUGCAGGGGAGCAGCAUGGCAUUUGGGUGGGUCAGCAUGCAUGGAGAAUCAUUACGGCUUCUGGUCUGUGCGGAGUGACGGGAGGUGCACAGGGGUCCUCCCUGGAGACCCCUUGUCAAAGGUUGCCAGUGCCACGGAGGGGGGAGCUCAAGACUGUAGCCUCACCUUUGGGAAGAGCCUCUCAAUGGAGGCGUCCCUCAGUCACGUGGAGCGAGUCACACAGUAACCACCACCGGAUCCGGGAGCCGGGGCUCUGGGGUCCCAACUAUGGAAAUGUGUGUGGCCCUGAGAACUAUGUCCUCAGCUGUUGGUCCCUUCCUAUCCAAGUCCUCGGUUGGCUACGGGUGAUCUCUCACUGCGGCAUAGACACCGCACACCUCACUGCCUUCAGCCUGUGACUCUGUUGUAACCAGACCUACUGGGUACCAGUGUGUCCCCCAUCCUGGGAGACCUGGGAGCCAGCUCCCACUGGCUGGCCCACCCCCGGGGCUCCAGUGUGGACAAGAAAUUAGCUAUGUUUGAGCCCACCUGCCUUCUACCGUUACCAUCGCAGGGCCGAGCCCGUCUACGCGGGGCAUCACCUGGGCCUGGCGGGUCUCCUCCUGCGAAGGAU
rnacentral:lncRNA from 1 species